rnacentral:rRNA from 1 species
GGACUACAGGGGUUUCUAAUCCUGUUUGCUCCCCACGCUUUCGUGCCUCAGUGUCAAUGUUGGUCCAGGUAGCUGCCUUCGCCAUGGAUGUUCCUCCUGAUCUCUACGCAUUUCACUGCUACACCAGGAAUUCCGCUACCCUCUACCACAUUCUAGUCAUCCAGUAUCCACUGCAGUUCCCAGGUUGAGCCCAGGGCUUUCACAACGGACUUAAAUAACCACCUACGCACGCUUUACGCCCAGUAAUUCCGAGUAACGCUUGCACCCUUCGUAUUACCGCGGCUGCUGGCAC